ensembl:lncRNA
GAGCUACAUGAUUAAUGAUUAUUAUUAGUAGUGCAUUGUUUUAUUAUAUUUCUAAUGCCUUUCUUUUUUUUAUUUCUUUCUAGUUAGUUUAGCUAGACUUUGCACAUCAUGUUAAUAUUAAUAUAUGAAUAAUGCAUGACUAUUCCUUAUUGCCUUUGUCUUUGCAAACUGCAGAACAACCUUGGAUUGCUCUCUUUUGUUUGCAUUUUGAUGCAAAGCCCACAGAGCACACAUGAGACGAGAGCCUACAGAUGGAGAAAUCAAGCUGCAGUUAUGAUUAUCCUGCAAUAAAAGCAGAUUUCUGUGGAUGUUCUCAGGAUGUGUCCGUGCUGUUGUUUAUAUCUGAGGUGUGCAGACGUGUGGAGAGAGAUCAGAGGAUCAGAGCGGAGUCAGGAUGGACAUCAAGCUCUUAGAAAAGCAAUACAGCUCCGUCAGAGAGACACAGAGACGACAGACUCAGCUAAUCUGCUUCAAGAACAGUUAGAAAUGAUGUUUGGGUUUGAGGCUCUAGAGCUCAUUAAACAAACCUGCGAACAGGAAAAGCUGGUAAUGACCAAACAUGCUUCCAGAAUCUUCAUUCAGAGUUAUCUGCACAAAACAGUGAAGAGAUGAGCGGCAGAGUGGACGUGGUUCCCGAGUGUCCAGAAACAGUGUUUGAGUUUGUAGUGGACUCUGACAGCGGUCUGUGGCGCUCACAUCUGGACACACACCAUAUGAAGCACACGGCUGAUGAACCCUGGAGCCCUGGAGACCAGCAGCUGAAGAGCGGCCUGGACUCCAGGAAGUUCUCAGCUCCAGCCCUUCCCUCAGAAGAAAAGCCGGCCAGGAGACUGGGACUCUACGCCUCACUUUAACCAAGAAACGUUCUCUCGGAGUUAUGAAGAAACUAUAUACAGGACGUUCCUGAUAACAUUAGCACAAACACAUUAUUUAAACAUCAUUCAUGGGAGGUUUUUUAAGUGUAACUCCUUUAUAAAGAUUCUAAAGUAACGUUUGCUAAAUGAUGAAAUUGCAUGUGUCUGUAUAACGAGAAAUAAUGUUUUUAAAACAUUAAAUAUGGAUAUUUUGAAAAUAACAUUUUCAUAACGUUGGUAAAACAAUCUUAGAACAUAUUUUUGACAAAAAUCAUGCAAAACCCAGGUAACAAAUUUAGUUUAUCAAAACGUUGUGUGAAUAUCAUGUUUCUAAAACAUUAAAAGUUUCCAAGUUUUCUUGUUGUGACUAUAAUGUUAUUUAAAGGAUGCAAAAACAUUAUUUUUACCCAAAAUAUAACAUUAUUUAAAAAAAAAAUUAAUCUUCUAAGAGUGUUGAAAUGUCUUUCGUGUCGUGAUUAAUAAUAAUAAUAAUUAUUAUUAUUAUUAAUGAAUAAUUAAGUGACCUUACAAAAAGUCUUAUUUGAGAGAAGAAGAAGAAAUAUGGAAUAUUAAAUAUAGAAUUAACGGUUCUAUGAUUCGUGGAACGUUAUUUAAAGGUUAAAUUUUUUAUAACGUUCUACUAACUUUAUUUUCGCCCAAAAUAACGUUAUUUGCAUGUUUAUUUUUAAUAUUCUAAGAACAUUUAAAUGAACAGUUUUCUUGUCGUGAUUAAAACGUUUCUUUAAAUGUUCAUCGAGUACAAAAAAACAAAAAAACAUAAGGAAGUUCUAGAAUGUUGAUUGCGGAAUGUUUAUCAAAUAUUAGAAGGAUUAUAAAGACAUUCCAUAAAUGUUACAUUUCAUAAUUUCUUUGUUUUCCAGCCGUAGUAUUCUGUAGAAAUUAGCUGAAAACAAAACCAAUGGCUGUUUCUUAUCACUUCUGUAUGAUUAUUGAUGCUGUUGGUUGAUGUUCAUGCAGCGUGUUGAAAUCAUAUUGAUAUGCAUUGAUAUAAAACACAUCGUGACAUUACAGGAGAUAAUUAAAGAACCGUUGCAUUUGCAUCAUAUAACUAAUUGUUCGUUUGCAUAGUUUGAACAAUCACUAAUUGCCAGAUCAAUAUUUGUAUUGUAUUGUGAAUUGUAAAUAAAAGAAAGAUUAUUGUAGUGUUUUAUAAGAGU